rnacentral:lncRNA from 1 species
CUUGUCAUCAUUCUGCUGUCAGACCAUCUUUAAUUGACUGCUCAGUGCAUAGCCAGCUAUGGACUGUAUUGUUCAAACUACUCCUUUCAUUUGUUAUGGUGCUUUGGAAUUGUAAUCGUCCCCUCAGAAGCUCAAAAUGUACGGCAGUACUACGAAAUUUGUGUAAAAAGAUUUCUACAGACUCACCUCAUGAACAAAGACUGUUGUAGUUUAUGCAGGAGGUACAUGGCCAUACAGUGCAAGGCAGGGCAUAAUAUAAGUCACCUGAAAAGUAAAUCUAAGUGCUAAAGAAGUAUCACAAAAGGAGAGAGAAAUGUUAGGAAUAGGAUCACAGAGAGGUAGCAUUUGUGUUGGGCUGGAAGGACAUUAUUGAACUAAUUGAUAGGAUUGUGUUAUAUUAAUGUUGAAUUUUCUGAAUGUGAUGACUCUUCUGUAGUAUGUGUAAGUUUGUCUCUUUAAUUAGGACUGCACACAAAAAAGUAUGGGGUGGGAGAGCUUCUGCUGUGGCACAGCAGGAUCGGCGGUGUCUUGGGAGCCCUGGCGCAAGGGUUCAAUCCCCAGCCUGGCACAGGUGGUUAAGGAUCUGGCAUUUCUAUAGCUAUGGCUUGGGUCGAGACUGCAGUUCGGAUCUGAUCCCUGGCCUGGGAGUGCCAUAUGCUGCGGGAUGGCCAAAAAUGGAAAAAAAAAAAAAAAAAAAAAAAAAAAAAAAAGUAUGGGGUGGGGUGGAGGUGAGAAAGAAUACAAGUGGUUAAGUAAAUGGGGUAAAAUAUUGCCAAAAGAUGAAUCUGGGUAAAGCACAUGUGGGUGUUGUUUGUACUAUUUUUAUUUGUGCAAUGAAUCUGCUCCUUUGAAAUCAUUUCCCAACACCAAGUUUUUCAAAAGCCACCUCUGAUAAGAUGUAACAGAGGCUAGCUGUCCUUAUUUAUUGCUUUCUGAAGACCGGAGUUGAUGCCAGCUGCUUUUUUAUUUCUCCACAUGUGGUUCAUUCUAGUUAUUUGUUGACUUCACCAAACCACUGCAUAAUUUCACACAACCCAGGAUGGAGGGCAACGGCGUCUGUUUUACGGAACCCGAGGCCUGAAAUAGCAGGAGAGCUGUGUCGUGGGGUGGGCUGGAAGCUGUGCUCGCCUAGCCACAUUUGGAUGGUUUGAGCAGACCCUUCUUUGUGGGAAAAACAGCCAGGACAAAGAAAAGGGAGAGCGAGACUUAGAAAACAAAGCUUUCUGCCUUCCAUUCAAAUGUUGCUUUGCCUCCUCCCUCAGGAUGGCACACAUUUCUCUAAAGACAUUUCCCAGAUGACACUUCAGUCCCUUCCCUGUCAUCAUUGCUAAAUUGGAGCUUCAGCAAAAGCCUGCCAGGUCCUCAUCUCUGGUCCUCAGGUACUCUCCUCCAGGUGUUUUUUCCAUGUGGCUCAGACCUGAGAGGUUCACAUAUGGCACCUUGUCAAGCUACCUCUUUUCAAGAAACACAUUUCGCAGGGUUCUAGGCCUUCUAAGGACCCAAAAAGAGGUGUGUCUGGUCCCCAUCUUUUCCCCCUUCAGGAAGCAGAAACACUGAAGUUGAUUCUCUUGUUCGAGCUGGGAAGGAUGGAAAGAGAGGGUGUAGAGGGAGGCCUCUCCCAGUGUCUCCAGGGUGUCACUUGGUCACUAGAGAACCUGCAGUCCUGGCUGCAGUGAGUUUGCAGUUGUCUGGAGGCUGCCCUCCAUCUGCCCAUGGCUGCACAGGCUGCAAGGAGAAAGUCAGUGCCCACGCCAGAGCCUUCACUGAGCAGGCAGACCUCGGAGUCAGACCACCAGGAUCCAGCAGUGGCUCUGCUACUCACUGGCUCUAUGGCUGUGAGUGGUUAGUGAGCUUUACUAGGCCUCAGUUUUGGCAUCUGCCCAAAUGGAGACAGUAAAUUGUCCCUGGCUUCUAGAAUGGGUGUGAGAAUGAAAUGCAUCAGAAUAUGCAUAGCAAGUAUGAAGCAUAAACAGUGGUUAUGCCAUCCUUGUGUUUGUCCUAAGUGUUAAUGUUUGCAGCCUGGCUUUUGUCCUUGCUCCCUCUCUUCCUUCCCCAAACUUGCAUGUCACUAGGCGAUUCAGCUGUCUUUAGAGAUAUUGCUCCUUUGGAGAUGAGAGCCAUGUUAUUGGAUUUGAGUAAAGUGCUCCUUGUGAAACUGUAAAGUUCAACUAUAAAGAUGAGCACCCCAGGUGGAUGAUUUUUAUCUUCUCACACAGUGUAUAUCCUCCUCUUUCAUCCUACCAGGCCCCAAGCUCCGGUGGUGCCCAGGCCUAGAAUCUCUUGCCCUUUACUCGGUGCUUACUAAGCUCAUUGCUCAGGGCUUUGUCUGGUGUCACCUUCUGAGGUGUCCCUCACCACAAGGACAGAGGAAACCCCUCCUGUAGUGCCUGUCACCUAACUCUUUCAUAGCUGGGCCGAACAAAAUGGUAUGGGCUUGUGCUUUAAAUUCACCUCCCCACUUUGACUGUACAUUUCUGGAGGGUAAGGAUUAUGAGGGGUUCCCCUUGUGACUCAGCAGAAACAAACCCGGCUGGUAUCCAUCCAGCCUUGCUCAGUGGGUUAAGGUUCCAGGGUUGCCAGGAGCUGUGGUGUAGGUCACAGAUGUGGUUUGGAUCUGGCAUUGCUGUGGCUGUGGUGUAGGCCAGCAGCUGCAGCUCCCAUUCGACCCCUAGCUUGAGAACCUCCAUAUGCCACAGGUGGGGCCCUAAAAAG